rnacentral:rRNA from 1 species
GAGUUCAAGAGUACGUGAAACUGCUUAGAGGUUAAGCCCGAUGAACCUGAAUAUCCGUUAUGAAAAAUUCAUCAUUAAUACUAUGAUAUUUAUAAUAUUAUAGAAAUAGUGUGCAAUUUUUUCAUAUAAGGACAUUGUAAUCUGUUAAUGUAAUAAAUAUUUAUUAAAAGAUCUUAUACACAAGUUUAGUCAAAUUAGUUAUUUUCGAAUUUCUAACAUAGAUUAAAUGUAUUUGAUUUAAUAAAUCAUUGACAGAUUUAAUUAUAAUAUAGUGCUUAAAUUUUGAACGAAAUUUUACAAUAAUAUGAUAAUUUAAUUUAUUAUAUUUAUUGUAUGCGCUUAUAUGAUUAACAAUGCGAUAGAUUCAGGAUACCUUCGGGACCCGUCUUGAAACACGGACCAAGGAGUCUAACAUAUGUGCAAGUCAUUGGGUAUUUUUAAUAAAACCCAAUGGCAUAAUUAACUUAACUGUUUUUUAAAUGGGAUUAGUUUAUAUUUUAUUAUGAAAUAUUAAUUCAAUCCCGGGGCGUUCUAUAUAGUUAUACAUAAUGAUAUUUAUAUUAUUUAUGCCUCUAACU